CAGGAGGCAGGAGACAGCUUGGACACACGUCUGCUUCACGCACCUCUGCUGAGACUUCUUUAUGGAGAAAUGAGAAAUCUUGAAGAGUAUUUGCCCCACUGUGACUCAGUAUGUAAUACAUGCCUGCUCCUAACUCUUUCCCCAUGCCCUCCCCUUGACCUCAAAGUCUAUACACCUGCCUGAGCCUUUUGUUCUGAGUUUCCUCAACAGUGAGACCACCCCCAUGACUACACUGAUCUACAUGACUCUAGCUAAAUGUGCCGCUCCGUG
rnacentral:lncRNA from 1 species